AUUGAACGCUGGCGGAAUGCUUUACACAUGCAAGUCGAACGGCAGCACGGGGCAACCUGGUGGCGAGUGGCGAACGGGUGAGUAAUACAUCGGAACGUGCCCAAUCGUGGGGGAUAACGUAGCGAAAGUUACGCUAAUACCGCAUACGAUCUACGGAUGAAAGCGGGGGAUCGCAAGACCUCGCGCGAAUGGAGCGGCCGAUGUCAGAUUAGGUAGUUGGUGGGGUAAAGGCUCACCAAGCCAACGAUCUGUAGCUGGUCUGAGAGGACGACCAGCCACACUGGAACUGAGACACGGUCCAGACUCCUACGGGAGGCAGCAGUGGGGAAUUUUGGACAAUGGGCGCAAGCCUGAUCCAGCCAUUCCGCGUGCAGGAUGAAGGCCUUCGGGUUGUAAACUGCUUUUGUACGGAACGAAAAGACUACUCUCUAAUACAGGGGUGAAUGACGGUACCGUAAGAAUAAGCACCGGCUAACUACGUGCCAGCAGCCGCGGUAAUCUCG
rnacentral:rRNA from 1 species